rnacentral:rRNA from 1 species
UGGGGAAUAUUGCACAAUGGGCGAAAGCCUGAUGCAGCGACGCCGCGUGAGGGAUGACGGCCUUCGGGUUGUAAACCUCUUUCAGCAGGGCCGAAGCGCAAGUGACGGUACCUGCAGAAGAAGCACCGGCUAACUACGUGCCAGCAGCCGCGGUAAUACGUAGGGUGCAAGCGUUGUUCGGAAUUACUGGGGGUAAAGAGUUCGUAGGCGGUUUGUCGCGUCGUUUGUGAAAAACAGCAGCUCAACUGCUGGCUUACAGGCGAUACGGGCAGACUUGAGUACUGCAGGGGAGACUGGAAUUCCUGGUGUAGCGGUGAAAUGCGCAGAUAUCAGGAGGAACACCGGUGGCGAAGGCGGGUCUCUGGGCAGUAACUGACGCUGAGGAACGAAAGCGUGGGUAGCGAACAGG